rnacentral:rRNA from 1 species
UACAGAGGUCUCAAGCGUUGUUCGGAUUCAUUGGGCGUAAAGGGAGCGUAGGCGGGCUGCCAAGUCCGGGGUGAAAUCCUCCAGCUUAACUGGAGAACUGCCUCGGAUACUGGAAGUCUCGAGGAGGGUAGGGGCAAGUGGAACCGUGGGUGGAGCGGUGAAAUGCGUUGAUAUCCAUGGGAACUCCGGUGGCGAAGGCGACUUGCUGGACCCUUUCUGACGCUGAGGCUCGAAAGCCAGGGGGGCAAACGGG